rnacentral:rRNA from 1 species
CUCGUAGGCGGCUUGUUGCGUCGACUGUGAAAACCUGCGGCUCAACCGUGUGGUCUGCAGUCGAUACGGGCAGGCUGGAGUUCGGUAGGGGAGACUGGAAUUCCUGGUGUAGCGGUGAAAUGCGCAGAUAUCAGGAGGAACACCGGUGGCGAAGGCGGGUCUCUGGGCCGAUACUGACGCUGAGGAGCGAAAGCGUGGGGAGCGAACA